UCCGCGGUUCCACAUUCUAAAGUCCUUAGCAGGCCCGCCAGGACUUUGCUACUUCUCCGACCCUGAAGGUCUGGGUCGUAGAGUCCCGGAACAGACUGCUGUUGCUUGCUUGUGCCGUGGCCGUGACCGUGACCGAGACCUGGUCAGGACCCCGAGAUCAUAACCUGAGCUGAAGGCAGCGGCUUAACCCACUGAGCCACCCAGGCGCCCCUACAGCAUGAUUCUUGCAGCUAAGACCCUGCUUGGAUAAUACAACUCAGCCUGCAGGUCAUCUCCAGCAGGGAACCCAGAGUGAUAACUAUGUUGCUCUGUGACUGUGCAGGGUAACAGCCUGGUAAGUGCUGAUUUAUGGACACAUCCAGUGCAGAGACCUUCCUACCCUCCAUUCCUCCCAUCUGUAACCUGGAACAUCCCUGUGCAGGUUCUAUAAUAAGGCCCAAUGGUCCCCACCUCCUGGUCCACAUGCUCUUGUGGAAUCUCCUCCUACUAUAUGGGGUGGGGGAACCUAGAAUAUCUUUUAACCAAAGAAAUCUGUCAGUGGUGACCUUGGAAUAUAAACAAUCAUGAAUUCCAUUUUGCCUGCUGAGUUUCUACCAUCUUCUCCACCUGUAAGCUCUGAUGAAGCUAGCAGCUGUGUUGGAAAGACCAGAAACUGAGGCCAGCCUGCUGCCUACAUCCAUCAAGAAGCGGAGGCCCCCAGUCCACCAGCCCACAAAGAACUACUCAGUACUCCCCAGAGGCCCAUGAGGGAACUACUGUCAGGGUAUCAGGAAGUGCCACCUUCACGUCACUUCUCACCUUGGAAAGCAGGCAUCACCAGGAAGUCAGCUGGAAGAAGACAGGUCACAGAUAGCAGGAUUGGAUCUUUAGGGAGAAGGACCAGAGGAUUUUUUUCCCACCAAAGAGACCUCCUCGGCAGGAACUCUGGUACUCUCUGGAUUUCUUGCAUACCUGCUCCUGGAACCCUCCUACAGGAGUGGGAGAUGUGACCUUAGCUCAAGAUCCUGGAAUCCAGAGAUAGCCACGUGCAUUUUCCCAGCCGUGUAAAGAUGACAUGCAGAUCACACCCUAAAGCUGUGUGAGAGCUGAACAUAUGAGCACAUGCUGUCCAUGCUAAGUAUGCAACGGAAAUCAUCAGCCAUCGCCAAAAAAGAACCGUUUGAAGAACAUUAUAAAUGAGCUGCAGGCAGGAACGUCCUGGGAACAGUAGAACUUUCUGUAAUAGUAAUGAUGGGUGUUAAGUUCAGCAAACAUGGAAACGGUGUCAUCAGAAGCUCAUGCUGUCCCCUGAGCUGUGAAGCCAAGCAUCAAAUGUUUACACAGUGCACUUUCUGUUCACAGGAUUCUCUUGUUCACAGGCAUUACUCCUCCAGUAAAUGAUCAUCUGAGAUGGUUGCCAGAGAGGAGGGAGUGGGGUCUUGGAACAUGGGGGAGGGGCAGUGGGGACACAGGCUUCCAGUUCCAGAAUGAAUAAGUGACGGGAAUAAAAGUCACAGCACGAGGAAGACAGAUGAUGAUACUGUCAUAGGGCUGCAUCGGGCAAAUGCGAGCUACAUCUAUGAGGAAGAGAGUGUAACAUAUGAACUUGUCACAUCAUUACUUUGUACCCCUGAGACUAAUGGAAUAUUAUGUGUCAAUUAUACCCCCAAUUUAAAUACUUUUAAAAAAUUUUCUUGGGGCGCCUGUGUGGC